rnacentral:rRNA from 1 species
AUUGAACGCUGGCGGCAGGCCUAACACAUGCAAGUCGAGCGGAUGAAGGGAGCUUGCUCCUGGAUUCAGCGGCGGACGGGUGAGUAAUGCCUAGGAAUCUGCCUUGUAUUGGGGGAUAACGUCCGGAAACGGGCGCUAAUACCGCAUACGUCCUGAGGGAGAAAGUGGGGGAUCUUCGGACCUCACCCUAUCAGAUGAGCCUAGGUCGGAUUAGCUAGUUGGUGGGGUAAAGGCUUACCAAGGCGACGAUCCGUAACUGGCCUGAGAGGAUGAUCAGCCACACUGGAACUGAGACACGGUCCAGACUCCUACGGGAGGCAGCAGUAGGGAAUAUUGGACAAUGGGCGAAAGCCUGAUCCAGCCAUGCCGCGUGUGUGAAGAAGGUCUUCGGAUUGUAAAGCACUGUAAGUUGGGAGGAAGGGCAGUAAGUUAAUACCUUGCUGUUUUGACGUUACCAACAGAAUAAGCACCGGCUAACUUCGUG